rnacentral:miRNA from 1 species
UGAGGCAUGGGACCAGAGUGUGGCACCACUGCACUGACUGCACUGCUCCGACCUGCCUCCUGCUCACCUCAG